AAUGAACGCUGGCGGCAGGCCUAACACAUGCAAGUCGAACGGGUCCUUCGGGACUAGUGGCGGACGGGUGAGUAACGCGUGGGAACGUGCCCUUUGGUACGGAAUAGCCCUGGGAAACUGGGAGUAAUACCGUAUGAGCUCGAGAGAGGAAAGAUUUAUCGCCAAAGGAUCGGCCCGCGUUGGAUUAGGUAGUUGGUGGGGUAAUGGCCUACCAAGCCGACGAUCCAUAGCUGGUUUGAGAGGAUGAUCAGCCACACUGGGACUGAGACACGGCCCAGACUCCUACGGGAGGCAGCAGUGGGGAAUCUUAGACACUGGGGGAAACCCUGAUCUAGCCAUGCCGCGUGAUCGAUGAAGGCCUUAGGGUUGUAAAGAUCUUUCAGAUGGGAAGAUAAUGACGGUACCAUCAGAAGAAGCCCCGGCUAACUCCGUGCCAGCAGCCGCGGUAA
rnacentral:rRNA from 1 species